UGUCUUAGAGCCACAGCUACUUCUGCCUCUCAUUCAGUCAAGACCAGCGCCAACUCACUCUUGUAGAGAACCCUUCAUGUGGAGUAGGGUUUGAGUUUGGAGAGGCCUUUCAGUUCUUCUCAUCUGGUUCCUCUCCUUGUAAGGCUCAGGAGAAGCAGCCAUGCUGUGGGCUGUGGCCCUGCUUCUAGCUUUCCUGCCUCCGGGCAGUCAAACAUCUUCCAACAUGGAUGAGGGAAUGACGGUAAUGACCAGGCCACGUGGAUCGUAUGUGGAAAUCACUUGCACUAUCCAUACACAAAGCAACUACAUCCACUGGUACCAGUUUCAAGAGGGGAGGGCCCCACGACGCCUUCUCUAUUACGACUUCUCCAAAUCCAAAGCUAUGUUGGAUUCAGGAGUUAGGUCAGGGAAAUACGAUGCUUAUGUGGGCACAGGAAGGACAAGUAAAUUCGUAGUACGCAACGUGGAAGAAAGUGACUCUGGGGUGUAUUACUGUGCAGUCUGGACCGGCACAGUGCUCCACACCUGUGCUAUGCUACAAUGA